UACGGAGGAUCCGAGCGUUAUCCGGAUUUAUUGGGUUUAAAGGGUGCGUAGGCGGUUUGAUAAGUUAGAGGUGAAAUGUCGGGGCUCAACCCCGAAACUGCCUCUAAUACUGUUGGACUAGAGAAUAGUUGCGGUAGGCGGAAUGUAUGGUGUAGCGGUGAAAUGCUUAGAUAUUGGGAGGAACAUCAGUGGCGAAGGCGGCCAACUGGGCUUUCACUGACGCUGAGGCUCGAAAGCGUGGGGAGCAAACAGG
rnacentral:rRNA from 1 species